AAGUCGUAACGAGGUUUCCGUAGGUGAACCUGCGGAAGGAUCAUUACCGAACCGUCGACACGAGUUGUUGCUGGUCCUCAAAUGGGGGCAUGUGCACACUCUGUUUACUCAUCCACUCACACCUGUGCACCCACUGUAGUUCUGUGGCUUGGGGGGCUCUGUCCUCUUUGCUGUGGUUCUAUGUCUUUACACACACACUGUAAUAAAGUUUCAUGGAAUGCAUGACGCGUCUAACGCAAUACAAUACAACUUUCAGCAACAGAUCUCUUGGUUCUCGCAUCGAUGAAGAACGCAGCGAAUUGCGAUAUGUAAUGUGAAUUGCAGAAUUCAGUGAAUCAUCGAAUCUUUGAACGCACCUUGCACCCUCUGGCAUUCCGGAGGGUAUGCCUGUUUGAGUGUCAUUAAUCUCUCAACGCAAGAAACUUUGUCUUCUUGUGCUUGGAUAUUGAAGGUUUUGCUGGCGCAAACAACUGUCAGCUCCUUUUAAAUGUAUUAGCAGAGCAGUAUGGGACUGGCCUCGGUUUGAUAAGAAACUUUAUCUAUGCUGUCGCUGGGUUUUCCUCUUUGUGCUCAGCUUCAAAUUGUCUUCGGACUGUCUCUUGAGGCAACAAAAUUUCUAUUGAUCGACCUCAAAUCAGGUAGGACUACCCGCUGAACUUAAGCAUAUCAAUAAGCGGAGGAAAAGAAACUAACAAGGAUUCCCCUAGUAACUGCGAGUGAAGAGGGAAGAGCUCAAAUUUAAAAUCUGUCAGUCUUUGGCUGACUGAGUUGUAAAUUAGAGAAGUGCUAUCAGUGCUGGCCUGUGCAAAAGUCUCUUGGAAAAGAGCAUCAUAGAGGGUGACAAUCCCGUCUUUGGUACAGAUCUCCAGUGCUUCCAUGAUGCGCUCUCGAUGAGUCGAGUUGUUUGGGAAUGCAGCUCUAAAUGGGUGGUAAAUUCCAUCUAAAGCUAAAUAUUGGCGAGAAACCGAUAGCGCACAAGUACCGUGAGGGAAAGAUGAAAAGAACUUUGAAAAGAGAGUUAAACAGUACGUGAAAUUGUUGAAAGGGAAACGCUUGAAGUCAGUCGCGUUCUUCAGAAAUCAACCUGACUUUGGUCUGGCUUACUUUCUGUUGGAUGGGUCAGCAUCAAUUUUGAUCGUUGGAUAAAGGCCUUGGGAAAGUGGCAUCUCCGGAUGUGUUAUAGCCCUUGGAUCACAUACAAUGGUUGGGAUUGAGGAACUCAGUGUGAAUUUGGAGCCUUGCUCACAACACGCACUUAGGAUGCUGGCAUAAUGGCUUUAAUCGAC
rnacentral:rRNA from 1 species